AGAAGCACAGAGACCCUCACCCUUUUGAGUCAUUUCAUUUGGCUCAUUCGUAUCUCCGGCUUCUGGUUGAAACCUAGUUGAAGUGUUGCCCGCAACAUGAUUGGCCAAACCAUGAUGGUUGCAAAUUUACGGGUACCCAUGCCCAUACCCAUGCCCAUGGCCACGGCCAUGCCCACAAGGCGAUGCAGAAAUCUGAGAACAUCAUGCUCCGCUUUUGGCGCCACAAACAAAGCGAAAAAUCCCAUACCCCCUUUCAACCCUAAAGACCCCUUUCUCUCUAAGCUCGCUUCCGUCGCUGCUUCUUCCCCUGAAACGUUCAUUAACCCUCCCAUUAACUCCGAUAACCCUCCUUAUUUGGACAUUUUCGACUCUCCUCAGCUCAUGGCCACUCCCGCUCAAGUGGAAAGGUCUGCUUCAUAUGAUGAACACCGGCCCACGACACCGCCACCCGACCUGCCUUCGCUGCUUCUCAAUGGUAGAAUUGUUUAUAUUGGCAUGCCUUUGGUGCCAGCUGUCACGGAGCUUGUAGUUGCAGAGUUGAUGUACCUGCAGUAUAUGGAUCCUGUACAACCAAUAUAUAUGUACAUAAAUUCCACUGGGACUACGCGAGAUGAUGGUGAAACGGUUGGGAUGGAGACAGAAGGUUUUGCCAUUUAUGAUUCAAUGAUGCAGUUGAAAAAUGAGAUACACACAGUGGCUGUUGGAGCUGCUAUAGGUCAAGCCUGUUUGCUACUUUCAGCAGGGACCAAGGGUAAACGGUUUAUGAUGCCACAUGCCAAAGCCAUGAUUCAGCAGCCUCGUAUUCCAUCAUCUGGGUUGAUGCCUGCAAGUGAUGUUCUUAUUCGUGCAAAGGAGGCAAUAGUUAACAGGGACACACUGGUUGAACUGCUGGCCAAACACACGGGAAAUUCACAGGAAACAGUGGCUAAUGUGAUGAAGAGACCAUAUUAUAUGGAUGCGCAAAAGGCUAAGGAGUUUGGGGUCAUUGACAAAAUUCUGUGGCGUGGCCAGGAGAAGGUUAUGGCUGAUGUUAUUCCUGCAGAGGAGUGGGACAGGAGAGCUGGUAUUAGAGCUGCAGAUGAAUUUUAGCUUGUCUUUUGUGCAUACACAUCUUGUCAAUAACCUUGUUAUUUUAAAAUGAAGUCCCGGAUUCUUGGAGAAGGCAUCUUGGGUCAAAUUCUCUACAAUUUUUGACUAAAACGCGACUUCUGGCAAGGCGACCAUGUUAGGUCCAUCAUUCAAGUAGAGACGAAAUAUGCAUGCAACGGCAACAAUGGCCGUCCUUUGACAUCAAUGGUAACGCCAAAAGCAUAGUAUUAUUUGUGUGGCGGUGCUGUUGGAGUGUUACUGGGUUACAAUGUCAAUGAGAUGUACCUCAGCCUCUAUACGAUUCGCACUAUUCCUCUCAUUUUCUCUCACGGCCUCAUCAUCUUUACCACCACUGCCAUUCUUUUCCAAGCGUGACGCUCCAUCCAUCCCCGAACCCAAAGCCACUCCCUCUGACUUAUUAUCUCUGUUGGGAUCCAAAUCUAACUCCUCAGCAGUCAAUCCCGUGGCAGCACGCCAACUCAAAUCAUGCUUCAGAUUCCUUGUUCCUUUCACUCCACUCGACCCUCCCCGCCACCGCAAAUUGGGCCCCACCGAACCAACCGGCCCAACUCAGAGUCACGAGAACGAGCUUAUUUGGUGGCCGCCUGGGCCGGUUUUGGAGCUGGCCCGCCUCGCCGUAGAUUCCGGUGGGGACCCCGCUGCUAUUCAUCGCGCUCUUGACCCAACCGUUAUCCCAGUCAGUUUCUUUUGCUCUUCUCCUUUGUUACCAUUGCAUUUCCUAUCAUAUGACGGGGUGAUUUUUCGAUAACACAGGUGCCUGAUGUUGAAGGAUCAAAGGAAGAUCGAUGUGAACUCACCAGAACCCCUUAUGGCAGACGCUUCAUUUGUGAGGAGCUGAAUCUGUAUCUACAGUUUUUGUUUGAACUCAUUGUUGAUCGAGGUCCAUCUGUUGGGUUGAAUGUUGCCUUGAGCCGGUUUGAUCUGUUCCAUGGUCACCUCUUUCUAGCCACAGGCUCUGGAAGACUCGGUAUCUUAUUCCAUGCAAAGGAAUACCCAGCAUAUGAUAAACAAGUGUUCCCAUUCAAUAUGGGAUUUUGUCAGAGAGGAUCCAAUGUGACAUAUGAUGAUUCAAUGAACCUGCGAAAUAUUCUUUGGCUGGCUCCACUGCCUGGCGAUUCUGCUGAAUCUUGGGUGGCACCAGGUACCUUCACUAAAGUUACUGCAUCUGUGUAUAGUUUGAAGGCUUUCUAUGUGGUACAUACUCUUAAAUUUCACGCUAAUUUUUAUGAUAAAUAAUUGUGUCAAUCUAUCGCUCAUGCAAAGUCAUCAAAUGGUGGUGUAACAAAUUUUGGAUUAUUAUGGUUUCUGACAUUUCGUAAUCCUUAAAGUGAUACCUUAGGUACACAAGCCUGAAGAAUGGCAGCAAUCAAUGUUCCAAAGUUGAUUAGUACUUUUUGCUUUUGAAGUUAUUAGAUAUUGUGGUACUUGAUAAUUUGGAAUAUAUAUUUUAAGGAUCCUAUUUUGAAGUGUAAAGGAAAAAUGGGAAUCUUUGUCGAAUGUCCUCUUUACCGCAUUGUGUAGUCUGUACUCUUUUGUGGUUACUUUCAGAGAGUUCACAUCAGUCUAUCUGCAUUGCACACGAGAUUCCAAGAGCCCUUAACUUUUUCAUAUAUAACUGAUACCUAUAUAACAACUCCAGUCAUUGGAAGCACACGUUAAAAAUAAAUGUUAAGUCUAUAACUGUUCUUGUUUGGCUCUGUCACAAACCGAUUAUCCCAAAAGCCAUUAGGUGAAAGCUCAUGAAUAUUUUUUUGUUACAUCUUUAACAUGCCCCUUCAUGCAGGAGCUUUUUGGGCAUGAAGCACAUUUUCACUUACCUUAUGCUGAAAUUCAACUGUUAUUUAGAAUAAUGAGAGCGACAAGGAUCCAACUCCUGACCACUUGGUCAAGGAGGCUCUAAUGCUAUGUCAAGAAUCAACUAUCGCAAAAGCUUAAAUUGUUAGGUGAAUGCUCAUGAAUAAUUUUGUGACAUCACUUACAGGUUCUAGAUAUAUUGAGGGAAAAUGAUGCAAAAUUUAGAUUACUUGACCUUUAAACUUGUAGAAACUAAAACUCAUGCAGGCUUUCAGUGACUACUUGAGCUGGCUACGUAGAUGCCUGAAGAAAUAAAACAACAUCAUUACUUUUUACUUUUUACAUGUGAAGGUUUAUGUCUAUACUUCUGUUUAACUUGGGCUUUAAAGAUGUCUUUACUUUUCUGUUCAUAUCCAUUGAUAUGAAUUAUUUCCUGUUUCUUGUCGUGCUAGAUGGCUGUUUAUUGGUUGUCAUAAAAAUAUUCAGUCUUCUGUUCAACAAUUUUUUCUUUUAUCUUUGUUUUAUUUGAACUUAAACUGGAUGUUGGGUAACCAACUUUUCAAGACUCGGGAUAAUUAAUCUAAAGCUUAAAAAUAUCAUUUGC